rnacentral:rRNA from 1 species
AUUGAACGCUGGCGGCAUGCCUUACACAUGCAAGUCGAACGGUAACAGGUCUUCGGAUGCUGACGAGUGGCGAACGGGUGAGUAAUACAUCGGAACGUGCCUAGUAGUGGGGGAUAACUACUCGAAAGAGUGGCUAAUACCGCAUGAGAUCUACGGAUGAAAGCAGGGGAUCGCAAGACCUUGUGCUACUAGAGCGGCCGAUGGCAGAUUAGGUAGUUGGUGGGAUAAAAGCUUACCAAGCCGACGAUCUGUGGCUGGUCUGAGAGGACGAUCAGCCACACGGGGACGGAGACCCGGCCCAGACUCCUACGGGAGGCAGCAGGGGGGAAUUUUGGACAAGGGGCGAAAGCAUGAUCCAGCAAUGCCGCGUGCAGGAUGAAGGCCUUCGGGUUGUAAACUGCUUUUGUACGGAACGAAAAGCCCUGGGUUAAUACCCUGGGGUCAUGACGGUACCGUAAGAAUAAGCACCGGCUAACUACGUGCCAGCCGCCGCCGUAA